GGCUCAGGAUGAACGCUAGCGGCAGGCUUAAUACAUGCAAGUCGUGGGGCAGCAUGAGUAGCAAUACUUGAUGGCGACCGGCAAACGGGUGAGGAACACGUACACAACCUUCCUUCAAGCGGGGAAUAGCCCAGAGAAAAUUUGGAUUAAUACCCCAUAAUAUAUUUGAUAAGGCAUCUUAUUAAUAUUUAAAAGCUUCGGCACUUGAUGAUGGGUGUGCGGCUGAUUAGAUAGUUGGCGGGUAACGGCCCACCAAGUCUACGAUCAGUAGCUGAUGUGAGAGCAUGAUCAGCCACACGGGCACUGAGACACGGGCCCGACUCCUACGGGAGGCAGCAGUAAGGAAUAUUGGACAAUGGACGAAAGUCUGAUCCAGCCAUGCCGCGUGAAGGAUUAAGGUCCUCUGGAUUGUAAACUUCUUUUAUAUGGGACGAAAAAAGGGCAUUCUUGUUCACUUGACGGUACCAUAUGAAUAAGCACCGGCUAACUCCGUG
rnacentral:rRNA from 1 species